UCCACCCCAAGCACUGCCAGAGCAGACAGACUGAAUAGUUCCUCUCCCAUCUGCCCUCACAUUCAAGCUCCACCCCCAUGUAUCCCAGGGCAGCAACUGUGGGAUAUGAACCCCUUACCGUCUCCACCAGCUUUCCCUCCAGAGCCUUGGUGUAAUUCUCAUGGAUGUACUUCUCUUUCCAGUCCUGUAGAGAAUGCAACAUGGAAUGGGAUUCCCAGGCCUGGCCUGAGUCAGCGGUGGUCACCUUAAGCUUAAUAGCCUGGGAUGCUCCCAGGGAGCCUCCAGCCUUCAGGUCCCUCAAAACAUGAGUAGCACUGGGGAUCGAACCCAGAGCCUCAAGCCUGUAGAACAAGAGUACCCCCAAGGGCUACGAUCCUGACAUGUUGGUCACGGGAAAAGCGGAACCAUACUGUUGCAUUAAAACAAAUUCAUCAGGGCAGUUCACAGGGGAGCUCUGGAACCCAGACAGGGACAGGACUAUGCUGGAGACCACAGAGCCUUCUGAAUUUCCAGCCUGCUGCUCCCAAUGCCACGGCCCAUCCGCCCGCCACCAUCCGCCCACCACCAUGCAUGAAGAGAACGCCCAAGCCUGACUCACGCGCCC